rnacentral:misc_RNA from 1 species
GAUGAAGAACGUAGCGAAAUGCGAUAAGUAAUGUGAAUUGCAGAAUCCAGUGAAUCAUCGAAUCUUUGAACGCACAUUGCGCCCGCCAGCAUUCUGGCGGGCAUGCCUGUUCGAGCGUCAUUUCAACCCUCGACCUCCCUUUGGGGAAGUCGGCGUUGGGGACCGGCAGCACACCGCCGGCCCUGAAAUGGAGUGGCGGCCCGUCCGCGGCGACCUCUGCGUAGUAAACCAACUCGCACCGGAACCCCGACGUGGCCACGCCGUAAAACACCCGACUUCUGAACGUUGACCUCGAAUCAGGUAGGACUACCCGCUGAACUUAAGCAUAUCAAUAAGCGGAGGA